rnacentral:tRNA from 1 species
CUCCUUGUAGCUUAGUGGUAGAGUACCUACUGGUGCCUGAAACUAGGAGCCCGGGUUCGAUUCCCGGCAAGGGAG